UAUCAAAAACAUAGCUUCUAGCCCAUCCAGUAUUAGAAGUCCCGCCUGCCCUGUGGAAACCCUAAACGGCCACGGCACUAAAACCGUGCAAAGGUAGCACAAUCACUUGCCCCUUAAAUGGGGGCCCGUAUGAAAGGCAACAUGAGAGAAGACCUGUCUCCUAGGGCCAGCCAAUGAAAUUGAACUACCAGUACAAAAGCUGGUAUUCACAAGCAAGACAAAAAGACCCUGUGGAACUUUAACAAGUUGUUCAAACAAAUUGAACAAUAGUUUCAGUUGGGAAAACUUUAGAAAAAAUAAACUUCUUAAAUACCACAGACCAACAAGUCUAAACCACCACCAUAGACCCAGUUUUACUGAUUAACGAAACAAGCUACCCCAGGGAUAACAGCGCUACCUUCUUAAAGAGUCCCUAUCAACAAGAAGAUCUACGACCUCGAUGUUGGAUCAGGGUACCCAGACGGUGCAGCAGCUGUCAAAGGUUCGUUUGUUCAACGACUAAGACCCUACGUGAUCUGAGUU
rnacentral:rRNA from 1 species